ACCUGGGUGGCUCAGUCGGUUGAGUGUCUGACUUUGGCUCAGGUCACAGUUCGUGGGUUCGAGCCCCAUGGCAGGCU
rnacentral:tRNA from 1 species